AUUGAACGCUGGCGGCAGGCCUAACACAUGCAAGUCGAACGAGUGGCGGACGGGUGAGUAAUGUCUGGGAAACUGCCUGAUGGAGGGGGAUCACUACUGGAAACGGUAGCUAAUACCGCAUCCCAUCAGCUGUGCCCAUAUGGGUGGAGCGGGUAGGUGGGGUAACGGCUCACCUAGGCGACGAUCCCUAGGUGGUCUGAGAGGAGGUCCAGACACACGGGAACUGAGGCACGUUGAAGACUCCGACGGGAGGCAGCAGUAGGGAAUAUUGCACAAGGGGCACAAUCCUGAUGCAGCCAUGCCGCGUGUGUGAAGAAGGCCUUCGGGUUGUAAAGCACUUUCAGCGGGGAGGCGUUAACCGCAGAAGAAGCACCGGCUAACUCCGUGCCAGCCGCCGCGGUAAUAC
rnacentral:rRNA from 1 species